GAUGGUAGAGCUCAGGGGUAGAAUGCGUGCUUAGCGUGCACGAGGUCCUGGGUUCAAUUCCCAGUUUCUCUA
rnacentral:tRNA from 1 species